rnacentral:lncRNA from 1 species
CAGAGGGCCAAAUUAUGGGUAUAGCACAUAACAGACCCCGUGAACAGCAUAGAAAUUGGAAGAACCUACAGCACCAUAACGAUUUUCUGCAUCUCGGCCACCGGAAUUCCAUCCUAGAUACCUGCAGAGCAGCCAAUUUCAUCAGUCAAAGUUAAAGUUAUGUAUCUCAAUACAUUCAGAGAAAAAACGUGGAUGUUAUGUAUCUCAACUUUUUGUACGACUCAAACAGUAAACGUGUACUUCACUGGUACUGUGGAAAUCAUGCCAAAUGCUCUGAAACUGGACCGUCUCAGUGGUCAGCAUCAGCGGACAAAACCAACAUUAGAAACAGAGAACCGCUACAGGAGAACGGUUCAUUUUUUAUCACCACACCUUCAACUCUUAUUCUUAGCAUAUUCUCAAGUUUUUGGCUACAUCUGUUAUUCUGUUCUCAGUGAAGGCAAAAAUUAAAAUAAAAUAAGACCAGCGGUCCGAAUAACUCCAUUACAGGGAAAUACUGGACAUCUGGCUUACCGAAUCAUUUGAAAUAUUCCUUGUUAUCAUGGGCACACAAGGGGCUCAUGGGGCAACAAACCCAAACCAUCUAGUUUAUAGCUCAUAGACAUACAUUUCAGAAAUGUACGAGCUAGCUAGUAGCUCACAAAUAAAAUGUAAUUUAACUCAUGUAGUAGAAGCCUCAACCAAGGGAUUGUGCAUUGUCUUAUUAAUAGACACAGUUCCCUCGGCCCAAAAUAGAUGCAUUAUUCUUUCUUCACAACAACAAAAGCAAUGCUUUGACCACUAGUUUACUGAUAAUAUUAAUAUGUUAGUAAAAAAUUGCAAUUUGUGACAAAAGCAGUGUUUACAGUGAAUCUGAUAGUCAUGCCAUUUCGAUCAUAUGUUUAUAAAGUUUUAAACAGCUAAAGUGACCAAAAGUGCAGAAAAUAGACUGCCGGCACGAAAGUGCUAAUUUGAGCUCGAGCUCACAUGCACUGGAUAUCUCAGCCAUUCCGUGGCGUCAAGAUUCGCAACGCACUUCGUAUAUUCAUAUGUACUCCUAAUUGUAUAUCUUGUCUAUGUCUGUGUCAACACCCACCUACCUACCCCACGUGAUGCCACUGUCGCCGUCGCGCUCGAACCGGCUCAGACGGGGCGGCUGUGUUCUGAGCCACGGCUCGGGCUUCAUACCUUAACGGCCACCCUCCCCAUCUUAUUACUGUCUCACCAACACCCAUCUCUGGAUCCUUCCUGCUCCUCCUCUCUCCUUAUCCCGUCCAACCUCGCAAGAAACCAGAUCGGCGGCCAUGUCCUCUCAGCUUCUUCCUCGCACCACCAUGGGGAGCCGCUUCCGCUCAUCCCUUGUCCGCAUUGCGGUGGCAAUGACGUCUCGCGGUCGGAGUCCGGUUCAACAAGUGCGUAAACAAAUAUGUACGAUUUCUCUUCCGAUCCUAGAUUUACUUUCUUUUCCACCAUCACCGCAGGCUUGACUAUGUGGCUGUCAGGCCCGCCAACUGUACCAGUUCAUUGGAUGAGCCACAGUACCGUCAGCUAUUGCCGGGAGGAGCUAUGACCGUCGAUCUGUGAUCUGGCGGCCGCGAGGAGAACUUACCGCUUCGCCGUUAAUGUGUGACCACAGCCGUCGAUCCUCAUCUGGACGGCCAGAGUUGUCGCGUUCUACUUUUUAAAAGUUACCGCGCUGUCUUUUACCUGUCAAGCGUCGCUUUCUACUUUACCUGAAUUCUGCUUUAUAAACCACCCUCCGGCUUGUGGAGAGGGGAUCGGGAUUAUUCUGGGCUUGGCCCUUGUAGCCGCCGUGUUCCGGCUGGCGAAAACCCUAGCUCUCUUGCUUCGGAUCUGAGUGAAUCCAUCAACAAAUUCCCCACCAAAUUGCUUGUUUUCUUCGAUCGCUUGCAAUUUUAGAGACAGCCACUACUAGGGCCUGUCAGUGGCUUCAUGAGAUCCAACGACACUUACCUGCCGGAGCUAAGUCGCCAUGGCCUCUCCUCUCCCAGGGGUACGGAUUGCAGCAGCCGCUCUCCGUGCAUCCAGCCUCGUCUCUCCAGCACAGAUCUCGCCGGGGGCAAUGCUUUCCCUGGCGGAACACAGAUCGACCACCAAGCCGCACAUGUACAUCCCCAACCACAGGUUCAGCAGUCACCCACUCACCGUGGUUCUUCGCCGUGCUGCUCGUCUGACGCCCACCGCAUUUUGGUGCUCCUGGCCGCACCAACCUGCUGCUUGUCAUAGCGUUGUUGGUUCUGAUUUUCGGGCAACACAACAAUUAGGCUUUCUUCCUAGUUAAAAAGAUCCAGGUGGCAGCGUGCAAGAUGUACUACGAACCUAUGUAAUCCCAAUUAGAUUUUGGUACUAAGCGCUCAGCCCUUUUAGCCGUGAUGGUUCUUAUUUCUGCCUGUACUCUCGUGUUAGCAUGGUUUUCAGUAAUAAAAUACUACUGCUGCCAGUCAUGAGUACUGUUCCUUCCGUUUAAUUACCAACCUUACUAUGCGAUGAUGGGUGUCACUGUGAGGAACUGUACUUUUCGGCAAGUGAUCAUCCAGUACCUUCAGUCAUCAUUUCAACUCACCUGCUUCACCACAUCUAAUUAGAUUUGUAAUCAGGAGUAAGAUCUACUGUUUUAGAGACUUGUAUUAUUAUUUUAAAAGUUUUCUCUCGCAUUACCACCAUUUUUAGUGCCAGAGAUUCCUGCAACAGUUACAAUCAAGCCUUUCCGCAUUUGUAUAGCUGGAUGUGCACUAGCGAGAUCGUCUAAUGCAUUUACAACUAGAAAGAUCUGAUCAAACAAUUAUUGGUCAACCAAGCAUUUUCUCACCAGAACUUGCUAAACCAUUUUUCUGCUACCUUUGUUUGCUAGGCAUCCAUUUCUCUGCAACAUUUUGUUAUCCAUGAUGGCUAUAUGCUUGACUGUGCACUAAGUAUUUUUGCCAAAAUUAUUGGAAUAUUCAGUUGUCCUACGACUGACGGAAACCUGUUUCCACAUCCAUGAUUGCUCAGUCUUACUGUUCCUUUCUUCCCAGGGAGGUGUCUGACGAAGGAAGCUGCGAGGGGGACACGGCGGCCGAUGAAGUAUGACAUUACAUCAUCCCAAAUGGUACGUAGCUGUGCACUUAGAUGUUUACUGGACCAGCCGAUCCUCAAUCCGUAGCACCUAACAACUGUUGCCCAAUUAUCUUUCCUACUUGCAGUUCAUUAUUCCAGUGCCACGCCCAGAGGGCUGGAUGGUGCGAAUCUUUGACAAUUGACAUGGUGACAAAAAUAACAAAUGUUUUUGACCCACUGUACACGAAAAUUUCUAAUAGUCAUCCGACCAAGGAACGAGAUCAGGGCACAGACUGGGAGUUGCACAAUGCAUUGUUUUCAUGUUUGAACGAAUUCUAUGCUGGAUGGCCGACGAAGCAAGGAAAAUUGGGGCGUCAAGCACAAUCCAACCACUGAUGCCAUCUUCAUACUGUAAGACCCCGCAUCCCAGCCUCCAUGUGUUUUCGGCAAUAUCUCACACACUAUGUCCUGUGCCACAUUUCCAGAGCCGAGACAGGGACAUGCAUGAUCCACAUCGCUUGUCACUUCGAUGGAGAAAAGCUUAAGCUUCAGCUUACAAAGGUCAACUCUUUCUACAUCCUUACUUGUUGUAGUCACCUUCACAUUCUUAAACUCCACAACUAGAUAUUUAUUCGCACUUGGCACGUGGAUGCACAUAAUUGCACAGCACAACGUCUCCAAAACAAAGAAGGACGCCCUCCAUGAGUGUGCUUGAAGCUUCAGGGCAACUUCUCUGCACUUGCGCACAAUGCGUGGCAUCUGAUUCUGUGUUCAACAACUAGGAAGGGGCCUGCAACAGCGCCAUUUGCGUUAGACUGAUCAUCAGACACUUGCCGCUAUCUGCCUUCUAAUCGUUAUGUGCCAGACUGACUUUUGUAAAUAUCAAUGAUAAUAUCAUGAACGACAACUAUUUCUGCUUCGACUUACUAUUUUUCUUCAUCCUUUCUUUUUAUGAAGCCAUGUUGAGCUCAUCCAUGAACGUGCGAUCUAUGGCGCCUAUCAAGCUCCCACUUCCUAUUUCAUUCUUUUUCAGUCCUUGUGCGUGGUUACCUUUGUUUUCAUGUUACAUUUGAUCAUUUUCGGAAAUGGAAACCAGAGGCUGCAACCAUGUUACCUACUCCCUCCGCUCCUAAAUAUAAGUCUUUUUAGAGAUUUCAACAAAUGACUACAUACGAAGCAAAAUGAGUGAAUCUACACUCUAAAAUAUGUCUACAUACAUCCGUAUGUUGUAGUCUAUUUGAAAUGUCUAAAAAGACUUAUAUUUAGGAACGGAGGGAGUAUAUGUUUUGUAUCGGCUCCCCAAUUAUUCCUCCACACCGCUAUGUUGUCUAUCGCUUUCCCAUUCAUUGUUCUGCAAUUACAGCAUUGCUAUCUGAAACCCAGAGCCCUCCCGACCCCCCUGCCCCCGGGGCAUCCAAUACAUCAAGCAUUUCUGGAACGCAGCACAUUUUGUUUCUGGAAUACAUGCCACAGGUUCAACACAGGCAGAGAGAACACAUAUUCUUUGUUUUCACACAUAAGCCACAAAUGUAAAUUAGAAGUGACUGCUUACACGCUGGGCAAAAUAGAACUGGGAUUUCAUGCACUUCCUUGCCACAACAGCUGGGAUGGAAGCUAACAUUCUCCCAAUUUGAUUGCCUACUAGUCCGUACCUCGGUUGACAACAAGGUAUGAACACAAAAUACAUGCCACUAGUCCUCGACACUUUUUUGCACUUAACCAAGUGGGUAUUGGGAGCACUCCCGAGCUAAGUAACAACUCCACCAAAAUGCGGAAGACCUAAUUACUACCUCAUUGUCUUCGUUACAGUACUCAUAGUCAAUCAACACAACUGAUCACCACCUUCAGAGUUCAGAACAACACUUCCUCGAUCAUGAAGCUUGGUAGCUCACCCUUGUUACCUUUCGUCGAGGUCACUUUGUAAGCAAUCUGCUUCUCAGAUAAGCCAACUCGUUUUGCAAUCACUUGUGCUACAAUUGUUUUUUUGCAAUACAGGAGUACAUACUAUGCUUAUCGUUUCCCAACUCAAAAUUCACCUCUUCCAGUCGUCGUUCAAGGUACAGACCAUUGUAUUCCCUGUAAUAGUGGUCAAGCAUGACCCAUCUGUCCUCCCUGCAUCACAUGUUGUUUUUACUUGUUAUCAGAUGCUCCAUAAUUAUGAAACCAACACAGAAACAUGUCAUCAAUUUUUAUGAAAGGAUGAGGAAUCUACUCACACUUCACAGGGCUCAUUCAUGAUGUAGUUGUAGUUUCUGCAAAGACCUCCAUUGCUUUCCUUACAUCCGCACAGAUUACGCAAAGACCUCUUCACAAAUGACACAUUUUUCAUCGAUCCAAAAAUACUACCUACUAUGCUAUACACCUUAGCAAGGUUGACAUUAUUCUACCACAACUGUUUUAUCAGGUCCCUGUUGUACACAUCAAUGUGCUUUUGGGACGGCCAGUGGAUAGUCUCACCGAAAUUUAGCGAAAGUGAGUGGUUAGUCCGUAACAGGCUAAUAGCCUUAUCAACGCUGGGCAUUCACACCGAAGGGACCUUGUGUUCUCCACACCAGCUUUCCCCCUGUAAACAUAAAGAUUGUGUUCAGAAAUCGUAUGCUUGACAUAAUCUUCGUCUAAUUCUACGAGCAUACACAUUAAUAUCAAACAUAGAUUUCCUCACCGAACAUCGGCAGACAAUUUCCUGCAUGCACUUCACCCUCUCCACAUUUAACUAGCUUUUCCCAUAUCUUAUACCAAAUCCUUUCCUCCCAAGAAUACAAGUUGUACAAAUCAUAUGCUUCUCCAAGCGAGUCAAAGGUACCAGUACCCAGCACUUGAAUGAUUACAUUAUCUGUCGUCGGCUUUUCCGUGGACACCCCCACUGCCUUCUCGAACGUGCUUACACGGGUAGUGCAAGGUGCCUGUUGGGGCCAGCAGCACCAAUCCGCAACCUGAUAACUGAUCACACAUGGUUGCGUCAAUCAUUCUAAUCCAGCAGUCAAAAAAUUUGCAUCCAAAACUACAGUAACUGAUACAUAAAACGAUGGAUUACUAGCUUGAAAAUUGUAAACAAUCAAUGCAUGGCCAUAGUCAUCCUGAAAGUUCAGUACUUCAAAUUCUUCAGAGUAGUAGCAGUAAGCAGUUAUGCUUUCACUCUAAAUCCAAAGGACACCAUGCAUUGAUAUGGGGCUCAUAGAUCAAACUAAUAGUACAAACUAACCAGCAACCAGAGCAAUUCGUAUCAAACAAUCAUUUUCCACCAGUAAACAAACCACCUCUGAAUUUAGUACUAAUACUGCUAAAAAUGUAUACUCAAUUCCCCUCGCCUCUUAUUCCAAUCAGGAGCCUGGGGAUUCAUUUUCCCCGUGGACAGCUCAGACGUGGGAGGCGAGCUGUACUUUCUCACCACUGCCGCCUGCACCACGCUGCAUAUUCGUCCUUUGCCGCUCAUAGCCGCCGUCGGCGCACCACUACAGAUUCGUCCUUGGCCACUCAACGUCGCCGCUCCUGACGCCGGGCAGACCCGCUCGUCCCCGCUCAAAACUAUUCCCUCGUGCAGCACCACCUCAACCACCGUUCGCCUUGUCCCAAAUGCCGGCGAACCUUCCGGCACCAGGCUCUUCCCGACCUCCUAAAAAAUAGUGGGUCUGUGCCAUCCAAAGCAGAGAAAACUAAGCAGUCUGUCGCACAAACUUCAAAUCGUGCUGUACGCUGGAAGAAAUCGGAUCAAAACGGCAUACCUGUGGACUGGCUGCAUUAGGAACUCCAUGGCGCGUCGGGUCGCCUGUUCUUCUUCUCGCUCCCUCUCCCCUCUGCGGCGCUGGGGCAGAGGAGCCAGGGUUUGCAUUCAAGACGAAUCUGGCGUCCUGUGACGGAAAGUAAACUUUCUGGGCCACGGAUCACAUAGAUUCUAGCGGUUCUGACCCACGGCUCAGUCCGUCACAGGUUGACGGGCGCCCAUAACUUGGCCCACCUCACAGCUCUGACGCAUACGUAUUAUCUUACCCCACGCAUUUUCCCACAAUCCAACAGGCAUCGUAUAAAAAAUUAGUCUACAUCCCAACGCCUGCACGGACGCACCUGAUAUCGCGAGCAUAUGAGCUCGAGCGCAAUUACUCCGUGUCCCUGCCGGCAAAGCAUUGAUACAUAUAGCUUGGACCAGACAAAUCAUGUUAGUGGAUCAUGGCAGAUUACAUAUGCAAAUUAGAUAGACACUGAGAGAUAUGCUGAGAAUAAUAUUUAAGCAAGCUGCCUUGCACUAGAACAAUCAUCCAUAAAACUGCAAUAAAUUGAGCAAAAGGAUAAAUAGAAAUACAAAAAAUUAAUGAAAGCAUGCUCUUCAAGUAUUCUGACAAUCAUCAGUUCACUAGGUACAAUAAUGACCCAAAAUAAGCAGCAAUGUGAAAUGAUAUAGUUAUCCCGUUUAUAUGAAGGAAGCAUGAAGCAAAUGGUCAUGCAUAGUUACCAAAUACUCACGUAGAGGUAACACAGUAUAAAUGGCAUUAGGAUGUGAUAGAUCCAUAACCACGAAAAACUAAUCAAAGGCAUGUAGCAACUAGUAGUAGAAGUAAAACAAACAAAAAAUACAUCCAUGAUGAACACAAAAGAGGACAUAUUGAUUACCACUUAACAUAUUCGCAAAGAGGGGAAGGGUAAUGAGUUUUGAGUCAUCUGGGAGCUAGAGGGAGCAAAACCUGCAUUAUCAGAAGGAACUGGGGGAGUACUAAGGAGGAGGUAAACUGAAAGCAUGGCAGUUCGAUUGAACAGGAAGGCAACCGGAAGUAUUCACAUCCAGUAGAGAGGAUAGAACAUUAGCAAAUAAAAGAGAAAUCAGGUGGUUAAAGGCAUAAGGAAGAGAAGCAGGGCCUGGAGAAAACGUCAAAGAUGCAGUCUGCCAUCAAUGCAAGGAGGUGACCGGGUGAACAUGUAAGCAAAGAGUUGUGGAUGAUAAUAAACAGAUGAAGACAGUUUGCUAGCUCUGACUUGAACAACAAAAAUUACAGAAGUGAAACUAAACAAUACACCAAUUGCAGGCCAUCGCCUGGCUGCAGAGAACAUACAAAAUUAUAUACCACUAACAGAUUAUUUUUUCUAACAAAUCAUAAUAAUUACAUACUACAGAAAAUAAUCGCUAUAUGUUGAAGAGGUCAUCAAGCAGCAAAAGGAACAAGUGAUAUGACACUACUUAAACUUGUUAACUCAACAGGAAAGGAUGAACCAUACAUGCCAUGAACUAAUUAUCAAAAAUUAACUUGGUUUUGUUACAACGAAUAUCUGAAGACAUGCUUUACCUGCAGCGUAGACACUUCUGAAUGGAUGAUAAUGAGAAAGGGGGUAGGUUCCAGAAAGCUUCUUGAACUUCAUUGACUCAAGAUGGACCGUAAAG